rnacentral:rRNA from 1 species
AUGCUUUGAGUACAAGUUUUCUCGAAUUUAUAGGAGCUAAUAAUAUAUAAAUUUUAAUGUUGAAUAAUUAUUUAUAAUAUAUUAUUGGAAUUAGACGUUAGUCGGAUUUAAAUAUAUCUAGUUUUCUGAGAAAUUAAUUUAAUUAAGCUGAUUUUAUGAAUAAUUUAUUUUAUAAAUGUAUUCUGAAAUCAAGUAAUAUUUAAGGGGAUAAGCUUUUAAGUAAAUUUCUAUAAGUUUAGGAUAUUUAAAAAUUGAGUAGGAAUAGAAGUUUUCAUUUUUUGUUGUGUUUUAUAGCAAGAUUUUUAUUAAAUUGAUUUGGUUAUUUUUAGGUUUUUUAUCAGAGUGUUGGAUGGAAUUUAAAUUUUUAAGUAAUAAUGAUAAAAUGAGUAUAUAUUUAUGUUUAUUAAAUUAAUAAAUGAGAGGUUUAAUUAAGUAAUUCGGCAAAUAUAUUUUCUGCCUGUUUAUUAAAAACAUGGCCUUUUGGGAAUAAUUUAAGGUCUGGCCUGCCCAAUGAUUAAGAUUUAAUGGCCGCGGUACUCUGACCGUGCAAAGGUAGCAUAAUCAUUAGUUUUUUAAUUGAAAGCUGGUAUGAACGGUCUUACAAGAAAAUAGCUGUCUCAAUUAAAUGGUUCUAGAAUUUUAUCUUUUAGUAAGAAAGCUAAAAUGUUUUUAAGGGACGAGAAGACCCUAUAGAAUUUUAUAGAUUUUUUUAGAUUGUGUUUUUGGUUUAGUUGAUGUGAUUUAGAAUAAUUUAUUUUGUUGGGGUGAUGGAAAAAUUUAAGAAACUUUUUUUGAUUGUUUUCACUGAUUUGUGUAUUAAUGAUCCGUUUAGAACGAUUACAAGAUUAAAUUACCUUAGGGAUAACAGCGUUAUUAGUUUGGAGAGUUCUUAUCGAUAAACUAGUUUGCGACCUCGAUGUUGGAUUAAAAUUAACUUUAGGUGUAGGGGCUUAAAAAGGUUAAGUCUGUUCGACUUUUAA